AGCAGUGUGGCUCAGUGGAAAUAGCAUGGGCUUGGGAGUCAGAGGUUACGGGUUUGAAUCCUGACUCUGCUA
rnacentral:tRNA from 1 species